rnacentral:rRNA from 1 species
UACGUAGGGUCCGAGCGUUGUCCGGAAUUACUGGGCGUAAAGAGCUCGUAGGCGGUUUGUCGCGUCGGCCGUGAAAUCUCCACGCUUAACGUGGAGCGUGCGGUCGAUACGGGCAGACUUGAGUUCGGUAGGGGAGACUGGAAUUCCUGGUGUAGCGGUGAAAUGCGCAGAUACCAGGAGGAACACCGGUGGCGAAGGCGGGUCUCUGGGCCGAUACUGACGCUGAGGAGCGAAAGCGUGGGGAGCGAACAGG